GCCCGGGUGGUGGAACGGUAGACACAGAGGUCUUAAAAACCUUUGGCCUUAGGCCGUACGGGUUCGAAUCCCGUCCCGGGCACCA
rnacentral:tRNA from 1 species